GUUGCUUUGGGUUUCAAGUGUUUCUUAGUUUUUCGCAAGCGAAAAGAAAGGAACUGUCGGUUUUUAAUCUUUCCUUAUAGAUUCCAUUUCUUAUUGUAGCUAUAUUUAUAAGAUACACAUCAAAUUUUCAAUUUUAGCAUACGUAAAGGAUAAAAUACAGAUGCCGGCAAAAACUACUGCUAUCUGACUGACGCUUAAUGGUAUACGAAGAAAGGUUACUGUUUAAUAGAAAAAAAACAACGUCGUGUUUACUCUGCAAUAACAGAUGGGCACCAAAUCUUUGAACUAACAAUAAUACUUUUCAUUACCUAAAAUAUGCUUAAUAUUCAACAAGAACGUCAAACUGAAACAAGUUUGUUCAAGCUUCUGUUUUCUAGAAUUUUUGUUAAUUACUUGGAUCACUUGUCUUAGGAAAUGAAACCAGGCCUCAGUAUGAUUUAUGCGAUAGAAAAUUAAAACAGUAAAGUGAUGUGUUUUAUUAUAACAUGUAAAUCAUUGAAAUUGUUGUCAUAACACAAAUGAAGUGAACCUUGCAUAGCUUCGCAUGCCUUGUCGAUUUGCUAUGCUCUAAAGGAUUUAUAAAAUACACUCUCUUUAACGUUUAAUUAAACUCGUCAUUCAUUUUAUCCAAAAUGUCUUGAUUCGCAGAUAGAGCACUUAUGAAUAAUUUCUUCGCAAAAUUAAACUGAGAAUGCAGUUCUUUCAACUCUUUUUUCAUCCUCCUAAUUAUUUUUUCAUGUUCAGUAUUCCGUUGCUUUUCUUUUCGCAGUAAAUUUUCUAGUUCCUGAAUUUGAUUAGAGUCCUAUUCGCUUGGUCAGUUAUGAUCAUGAUUACAUUUUUUAAAUACACCCACGUACUUUCGAUGAAUUUAUACAAUUCCUUAAUUCCGACAAUUUGACGAUGUCUUUGCGACCCAAAUGUAGUUUAGAUGCAGUGUUUGACGACACUAGAGAGGUAGGUGAUCCUAAUCCAUGUCUAUAAUCACUCGAUUUUUCUGUGAAAACAUUAGAUAGUGAAGAACCAUACAAGCAAGGGGACGUAUUUUCCCUAUAAAAAUGUAAUGGUUGACCAUAGAAAUCACAACUUUUUUCAGCUUCUGAAGGAUAGUUCCCCCUUGGCGAUAAAUGAGUCUUGUUGUUUUCCUUGACAAUAUACGGUGUCAUCGCCAGGGCAUCUAGCCCAUUUGAAUGGCUCGAGAGGUCCCUAGAUUUAUCUAAAUGGGAAGUUUCAUUAGGCCAAAUACUCCCAUUUGCUAAUUUUUUUUCAACUACUGUUUCUCUUGGUUUCAAAAACGAAAUUUGAUCCGAUGUCUUUUCGUUUAGAAACUCUUUGUUUGAAGAAACAACUAAAUCUAAUUCCUUCAACUGUUUACAUAAGAUUGAGUUUUCCUUAUCUGAAAAUAGCUCAUCUUUUACUUUGCAUUCCGACCUUUUAGUAAAAACCAAAUCGGUUUCAGGUUGUUGAGAUAUUUGGUCAAUCUUAAAACACUUAAUUGAGGACUUAUGUUUCUUCAUUAUGUUUUGCGUUGGCUAAUUUCAUGGUUAAAAAUGGCGGAAUAUGAAAUAGUCGACAGUAAACAAACACUGUGUUUUCACUAUGUCAACCUUCCCAAUCUAGUAAACAAAAACGAUAACAAGAGUAAACCAAUUUUGGCACAAGCGCAUUAUAAACUUAUACUGUAUAAAUUAAUA
rnacentral:lncRNA from 1 species